rnacentral:rRNA from 1 species
GUACAACGAGUCGCAAGCUCGCGAGAGUAAGCUAAUCUCUUAAAGCCGUUCUCAGUUCGGACUGUAGGCUGCAACUCGCCUACACGAAGUCGGAAUCGCUAGUAAUCGCGGAUCAGCAUGCCGCGGUGAAUACGUUCCCGGGCCUUGUACACACCGCCCGUCACACCAUGGGAGUUUGUAACGCCCAAAGUCGGUGGCCUAACCUUUAUGGAGGGAGCCGCCUAAGGCGGGACAGAUGACUGGGGUGAAGUCGUAACAAGGUAAC